rnacentral:rRNA from 1 species
GACGAACGCUGGCGGCGUGCCUAAUACAUGCAAGUCGAGCGCAGGAAACUGACGGAACUCUUCGGAGGGAAGGCAGUGGAAUGAGCGGCGGACGGGUGAGUAACACGUAAGGAACCUGCCUCAAGGAUUGGGAUAACUCCGAGAAAUCGGAGCUAAUACCGGAUAGUUCAUCGGACCGCAUGGUCCGUUGAUGAAAGGCGCUCCGGCGUCACCUUGAGAUGGCCUUGCGGUGCAUUGGCUAGUUGGUGGGGUAACGGCCCACCAAGGCGACGAUGCAUAGCCGACCUGAGAGGGUGAUCGGCCACACUGGGACUGAGACACGGCCCAGACUCCUACGGGAGGCAGCAGUAGGAAAUCUUCCACAAUGGACGAAAGUCUGAUGGAGCAACGCCGCGUGAGUGAUGAAGGUUUUCGGAUCGUAAAACUCUGUUGUAAGGGAAGAACACGUACGAGAGGGAAUGCUCGUACCUUGACGGAACCUUACGAGAAAGCCACGGCUAANUANGUGCCAGCAGCCGCCGUAA